rnacentral:rRNA from 1 species
UCGCCUGUUUAUCAAAAACAUGUCUUUUUGAGUUAUUUUUAAAGUCUGACCUGCCCACUGAAAUUUUUAAAUGGCCGCAGUAUCCUAACUGUGCAAAGGUAGCAUAAUCAUUAGUCUUUUAAUUGAAGGCUGGUAUGAACGGUUGGACGAGGUAUAAGCUGUUUCAUAUAAAUUUAUAAUAGAAUUUUAUAUUUUAGUCAAAAAGCUAAAAUAUUAUUAAAAGACGAGAAGACCCUAUAAAUCUUUAUAUUUUUUUUUAUUUAAAUUUUUUGGAUUUAUUUUAUUUUUAUAAUAGAAAAUAUUUUGUUGGGGUGAUGUUAAAAUUUAAUGAACUUUUAAUUAUAAAAAAUCAUUAAUUUAUGAGUUAUUGAUCCAUUAGUAGUGAUUAUAAGAUUAAGUUACUUUAGGGAUAACAGCGUAAUUUUUUUGGAGAGUUCAUAUCGAUAAAAAAGUUUGCGACCUCGAUGUUGGAUUAAGAUAUAAUUUUAGGUGUAGCCGCUUAAAUUUUAAGUUCCGGUUCUAUCU